GUGCCAGCCGCCGCGGUAAUACGGAAGGGGCUAGCGUUGUUCGGAAUCACUGGGCGUAAAGCGCGCGUAGGCGGCUUGGCAAGUGAGGCGUGAAAGUCCUGGGCUCAACCUGGGGACGGCGCUUCAGACUGCUGGGCUUGAGUCCGGAAGAGGGUGGUGGAAUUCCGAGUGUAGAGGUGAAAUUCGUAGAUAUUCGGAGGAACACCGGCGGCGAAGGCGGCCACCUGGUCCGGAACUGACGCUCAAGUGCGAAAGCGUGGGGAGCAAACAGGAUUAGAUACCCUGGUAGUCCACGCCGUAAACGAUGGGUGCUGGAUGUCGGGGGGCUUGCCCUUCGGUGUCGUAGCUAACGCGUUAAGCACCCCGCCUGGGGAGUACGGCCGCAAGGUUAAA
rnacentral:rRNA from 1 species